rnacentral:tRNA from 1 species
GGGGGUGUAGCUCAGCUGGGAGAGCGCUACAAUCGCACUGUAGAGGUCAGGGGUUCGAAUCCCCUCACCUCCA